rnacentral:rRNA from 1 species
GACGAACGCUGGCGGCGUGCUUAACACAUGCAAGUCGAACGGAAAGGCCCUGCUUUUGUGGGGUGCUCGAGUGGCGAACGGGUGAGUAACACGUGAGUAACCUGCCCUUGACUUUGGGGUAACUUCAGGAAACUGGGGCUAAUACCGGAUAGGAGCUCCUGCUCCACGGUGGGGGUUGGAAAGUUUCGGCGGUUGGGGCUGGACUCGCGGCUUAUCCGCUUGUUGGUGGGGUAGUGGCUUACAAAGGCUUUGACGGGUAGCCGGCCUGGGAGGGUGACCGGCCACAUGGGGACUGCGAGACGGACCAGACUCCUACGGGAGGCAGCAGUGGGAAAUAUUGCACAAUGGGCGGAAGCCUGAUGCAGCAACGCCGCGUGCGGGAUGACGGCCUUCGGGUUGUAAACAGCUUUCGCCUGUGACGAAGCGUGAGUGACGGUAAUGGGUAAAGAAGCACCGGCUAACUACGUG